rnacentral:lncRNA from 1 species
AGAAAGAAAAGUGUGAAAAGUAAUAAACGAAUAAUUAAUAUCUAUGAUUCAGACUAAAAUCAUCCAAAACAAGUACGGCUGAAUGAAUCGAGAAAUUAUUUUGAAACAGGUGAGUCUUUUAAACAACAUUACUGGAUAUUUCUUAGAUGCCUAGCAUGGCCAUAGAAAUAAGAAUAAGAGAUGCAACAUCACAUCAAUAGUUCCACAAGAGGGUAAACAAUGUAAGCACAGUUAGCUUCUAAGAGUAGAGUAUCUCUGGAAUCUCAUUCAUUACAUUAUGUACAAUCGGAGUCUUGCAAAAGAAAGAAAGGGAUAGCCUCACAUACCUUGUAUAUACUGCCCCAAUCUCAAGCUAUGCAGUUAUCACAACUAGUCUACAAUAAGAGAAACUAUACUGUGGUUAUCAUUUAAGCGACAUUACUAUUAUGUAUCAAUCACAACCUAUUUUACGAUGAAACGGACAUCAACUACUCUAUAUAUAUGAAUUCAAACCAUUCAAAACAAUCACCAAACAGCUUAAACAACAUCAAUAGUAAUCACACUGAUCCUCCCGAAACAGUCCACACACAAUUUAAUUACUUCAUACGUACGAUGACCACCGUAGUCGUGUCAAAUGCCUAGAAAAUGUUAUGCAGAACUAUCAUCCCAUAAGCCUAAAUAUAAAUGGUGUUUAUCAACAACCUUCAACCUCCAAAACUCCACAAAAUAGUAGUAAAACACGCAGCCCAACAGAAAGACGAAACAGUCCACAAAACAAUUCUGCUACAAGUGAAUAACUGGAACUCACGGCUUACGAUCACCAUCCCGUAAGUUCUUUCAUGUAUAGAACGAAUUACCAUGAGUUCACAGCAGAAGAAAUGUAUUAAAUAGUUCAGUAAACUUACCUUACUCAUUGGAUAACUAAGCCCUUCCCUUGCUUCUUCAAGCUCCUGAUUUUACCCUCAAUUAGAACUUGAAAGAGAGGGAAAAUCGAUUAGGGUUUGUGUGGGAUUUUUUGGAGGAGGUUUGCAGAGGUUUUAGUCUGAGUAUUUGUGAGAUAUAUUGAGGGUUAUAUUUCAGAAGAUAACCCUUUAAAUGGGCUGAAUAUACGACCCGAAAGUUCCCUUUUUUGGGGUAUCAUUUUAACAAGUAGGUGACACACCUACUUGUCACCUAGCAGCUUGCACAGUCUCACAAAAACUAUAUCUCUCUACUCCGAUGUCGUAGGGAUAAACACUUUAAUGCGUUAGAAACUAGACUCAUAGAUCUUUAAUUUGGGCAUAGAUCACCCCAUAAUUCCAUGGAAACUGGGAGAAAAGUUUAGAAAAAUUUGACCUAAUGUUUAAGUAAAAUUUUGAACCUAAGUUGUGACAACUUUUGUCGACUUUUGUUUCAUAACACGUUUGACUUCAAGACUAUGAAACGGAUAUUAUAUGAUUCAAAUGCCCUAUUACAUGAACUCUUUAUUGUAUUAAGAACCUAUAGGUUUACCCAAAAAUACAUUGACAUCAAGACUGAUACCAUACGAUUCAAAUACAUUAAAACAUGACCUAUUGAGUGUAUUAAGCACCUAUAGGUUUACCCAUAAAUACAAGUUACAACAUCCUUGAUUCGUUUAACUUCUAAUACUUGUUAAUCGCCCUUAUACACCCUUGUAUCACUUAGAUCAAUAUGAUUAACUUCUUAUCAUCUCAAGGAUAAUUCCUUCUUGGAUUAAUGUUAACUAACACAUGGCAUGAACUAACGCAUGUGGGUAUGGGUUGUAAUACCCUUCCCCCCUUAGGAACAUUUGUCCUCGAAUGUAAGGGUUUAUGGGGAGUCCAAAUCAUCAUGGAUUCCAAUAGAAUAUGGUCACUAGCAAAAUCUGCAAGAAGUUAAGCCCAAUGUAUGCUCUCACAAGUUUACACAAAGCAUUAUGGAAAUGUACAUUAUUUGCAUAUUACCAUUUUGUAUUAAGGAAGAGUGUUUUCAAGUUAUUUUUUAGCUUAUAAAGUCGCUUCACCUUUACAAUGUAUCCUGCAUUCCACCAACAUUCUAUCAUCAUUCUGGAAUAGGUAAGGGUAUUUAGACUUUAUCUCUUCUUCCGCUUCCCAUUUCAUUUCUUCCAUAUUCUUGUUCCUCCAUAAUACUAUGACGGAAGCUACAUCUUUUGUUCUCAGCUUGCGGACUUGUCGAUCUAAUAUAGCCACUGGAAUUUCUUCAUAUGAUAAAUCCUCUUUAACUUGUACAUCUUUGUUAGGGACAACUCGAGAAGGGUCUCCAAUACAUUUUCUCAACAUAGAUACAUGGAAUAGUGGGUGGACAAUUUCAAAAUCGGUUGGCAAUUCAAACUCAUAAGCAACUUGUCAAAUUCGUUGAAGAAUUUUAUACAGACUGAUAUACCUUUGACUCACUUUACCUUUCUUUCCAAAAUGCAUAACACCUUUCAUUGGUGCGAUCCUCAAGAAAACCCAAUACCCAACCUCAAAUUCCAAAUCAUGACGUCAGAUAUCGGAAUAAGACUUUUGCCUACUUUGUGUCGUUCUCAAUCGUUCUUGUAUCGCCUUCACCUUCUCAAUGGCUUGGUGAAUCAAACAUGGCCCAUGCAAUUCUGUUUUACCGACUUCGAACCAUCCAACUGGUGAUCUACAUCUUCUUCCGUAUAGUGCCUCAUAUGAGGCCAUUUUAAUACUGGAAUUGUAGCUAUUAUUUUAGGCAAAUUAUAUGAGUGGAAGAUGGUCAUCCCAAUUCCCCUUAAAAUCUAAAACACAUGCUCGUAGGAUAUCUUCCAGUGUUUGAAUGGUACGUUCAGCAUGUCUGUCUGUCAGUGAAUGAAAUACAGUGCUGAGAUUCACUUGUGUUCCUAAACCCCUAUGAAAACACCUCCAAAAGUUAGCCAUAAACUGAUCUCCUCGGUUUGAUAUAAUAGAUACCGCCCAUGAAGCCUAACAAUUUCCUUGAUAUGAAACUUUGCACAAUCUUCAGCCGCGUAAGUUGGCUUAACUGGCAGAAAAUGGGCACAUUUUGUAAGUUGAUCAACUAUCACCCAGAUGGAAUCAAACUUAUGGUAAGAGCGAGGUAAUCCAAUAACGAAGUCUGUAUUAAUCACCUCCCAUUUCCAGGUUGGAAUCUCUAUAUUCUGAAGUAAUCCACCGGGUUUUCUAAUGUUCUAUCUUUGCUUGUUGACAAUUAGGACACUGGGCUACAAAUUUUGCAAUUGACUUCUUCAUGUUAUCCCACCAAUACUGCUCCUUGACAUCAUGAUACAUCUUUGUCGAGCCGGGAUGGAUGGAAUAUCGGGAUUGAUGAAUCUCAUUCAUAAUCGUUUCUCGCAAUCCUACCACAUUAGGCACACAUAAUCAGCACUGGUAUCUUAGUGCCCCAUCUCCUCCGAUCUUAAAAGCUGUAAUUUUACACUGCUUAAUGCUCUCUAUCAAUCAUACCAAGAUAGGAUCUUCAUAUUGCCGUGCUUUUACCUCGGCUAGCAAAGAUUAUUGUGAUGUAUUAUGUACAGUAAUACCUCUAUCAUCAGAGUCUAAUAAUCCGAUUCUCAUAUUGGCUAGCUGAUAAAGCUCUUUAGUCAGCCCCCAUCUACCUGCCUCAAUUUGUGCUAAGCUUCCCAUUGACUACGACUGAGAGCGUUUGCCAAAAUAUUGGCUUCGGGAUGAUACAAUAUCUCGACGUCAUAGUCUUUCAAAAAUUCAAGCCCCCUAUGCUGCCUCAAGUUCAACGCUUGAAGAUGUAUUGUAAACUCAUAUGAUCUGUAUCGAUGUCAACAUGGAUGUCGUAUAAGUAGUGGCGCCAUAUCUUCAAAUCAUAUAUUACUGCAGCCAAUUCCAAAUCAUGGGUGAGGUAAUUAUUUUCAUGCUUCUUCAAGUGUCUUGAUGUAUAAGCAAUCACCUUUCCAUGUUGCAUCAAUACAAAACCUAAACCUAUACCUGAGGCAUCACAAUAUACCACAUAUCCUUAUGUUCCUUCAGGGAGAGUGAGCGCUGGUACGGAUGUUAAUCGAUUCUUCAGCUCCUGAAAACUACUCUCACAAGUCUCAGACCACUGGAACUUGGUAGCUUUUUGUGUUAACUUAGUCAAUGGUGCUGAUUUGGAGGAAACCCUUCUACAAAUCACAUAUAAUAUCCUGCUAGCCCUAGGAAGCUGCAGACUUCUGAUGGUGUUGUAGGUCUCAGCCAAUUCUUUACUGCAUCGAUCUUCUUAGUGUCGACAUUGAUAGCCUCUCUCCUAUUAUAUCCUACUAGCCCUAGGAAGCUGCGGACUCCUGAUGGUGCUGUAGGUAUCGGCCAAUUUUUUACUGCAUCGAUCUUCUAAGUGUCGACACUGAUACCCUCGUCAGAUAUCACAUGGCCAAGAAAUGCUACUGAAUUCAGCCAGAAUUCACAUUUGGUGAGCUUAGCAUAUAACUUACAAUCCUGAAGCUCUUUAAUACUAUCUGCAAGUGGCCUGCAUGUUCCACCUAUGAACGAGAAUACACCAAAAUGUCAUCAAUGAAUACAAUCACGAACACAUCAAGAUAGGGCCUNNNNNNNNNNNNNNNNNNNNNNNNNNNNNNNNNNNNNNNNNNNNNNNNNNNNNNNNNNNNNNNNNNNNNNNNNNNNNNNNNNNNNNNNNNNNNNNNUCCACAAAUUAGACAUAGGGCCUGAAUACUGUAUUCAUGAGAUCCAUAAAAGCUGCUGGUGCAUCUUUAUCCUGAACGACAUCACCAAGAACUCAAAGUUCCCAUAUCUUGUCUGGAAGGCCGUCUUUGGAAUAUCCUUCCCCUUGACCCUCACCUGAUGAUAUCCUGAAUGUAAGUCAAUCUUGGAGAAAUACUUGGCACCCUGGAGUUGGUCAAACAAGUCAUCAAUUCUUGGAAGUGGAUACCGGUUCUUUAUAAUAAACUUAUUCAACUAUCGAUAGUUGAUACACGUCGUAACGACCCGUCUUUCUUCCGCACGAAUAGAACUAGCGCACCCCAAGCUGAAGUGUUAGGCCUAAUGAAGCCCUUAUCCAGCAAGUCCUUCAAGUGCGGCUUCAAAUCUCGCAACUCUGCCGGAGACAUUCUGUAUGGAGGGAUAGAGAUUGGUUGAGUGUCAGGCAACACAUCAAAGCUAAACUUAUUCUCCCUUUCAGGAGGAAGGCCUAGGAGUUCAUUUGGGAAAACAUCUUGAAAUUCACUGACCACGGGGAUUGAUUGUAGAGUAGGCGUCUUCGCCUCCAUAUCCCUAACGCGUACGAGAUGAUAAAUGUUACCUUUUGAGAUCAUUUUCCUUGCCUUAAGAUAGGAAAUAAACCUACCUUUCGGUGUAGCAAUGUUCCCCUUCCAUUCAAUGACAGGUUCACCAGGAAAUUGAAACCUAAUAAUUUUCGUACGGCAAUCACCAUUUGCAUAGCAUGAGGACAACCAGUCCAUCCCCAUUUUCACAUCGAAAUCAACCAUUUCUAACUCAAAUAAAUUUGCCGAGGUUUGACGAAUAAAAAUCAUCAUAAUGCAAUCGCUACAUACUAUUCUAGCAAUCACAUAAUCUCCUAUUGGAGUAGACACCGCAAGGUUUACUUAUCAAUUCAGGUUCAACGCCAAACUUAUUAGCCACAAAGGUUGUAACAUAUGAUAAUAUUGAUCCUGGAUCAAUCACCGUGUAUGCAUCAUAUGAAAACACACACAGUAUACCUGUAAUAAAUCUGGAGAUGACUCGAGAUCUUGUCGACCUACUAAAGCAUAGGUUCGACUUUAAGCACCACUUAGACUUGGCCCUACACCUUUACCUCUACCAUGAGAUGUCGGCUGCUGAAAACCCUGUGCUGGAGGUCGAACUGAUGAGGAAGAACCCAACGCAGAUCCUGUCGGCUGAUCCAUUACAUCACCUUCUCUGUUAGGUCAAUCAUACAUCGUGUGCCAAGGGUUUCCGCAAGAAUAACACACAUCAGAACAUCGACGGCACAGUCCAAAGUGAGCCUUACCGCACUUAUCACAACGUGGUGUUGGGGGUCUCGUCUAAGUCAUAUCCCUGUGAUGUUUUGAGCUUGAUGCCUGCAAACUCUGACCUAGACCAGAAUAGGAUUGAUCAUAUUGAGGCCUCUGAAACUGUGGAGGAGCACUAGCUACAGGUGGCGCCGAACUCUUCGAAGACUAGGGCCUGAAGCUGCCUCUAAAGUCAUCAGGAUACCUUGAAAAUCUCGCCCUUUUAUGUUGGCCCCUAUCCUGCUCCCUAUAUUCCCUUUUCUGGCACAUACAAUCCUCUAGGGUCUGGGCAUAAGCCUGAAUACGGGAAAUAUACAUGCCAUCACCAAGGAGGCUGUCGUACACUCAUUUAUCAUAUGUGGUCCCAACCCGUUCACAAACAUAUGCACCCUAUCACUCAUCUCGGCUACCAUAUAGGGAGCAUACCUUGAUAAAGAUCAAACUGCAUAAUGUACUCUUGCACACUCAUAUUACCUUGUCUAAGGUUCAAGAACUUAUCAGCUCUAGCUCGUCGUACCUCAACUAGAAAGUAGUGACGAAGAAAGGCCUCAUAAAAUUCUUUCCAAAUAGCUGGAGGAGCGUUCGGACCCCUCAAUCUCUCCCAUCUAUCAUACCAGAGAACCGCUAAAUCCCGUAGCCGAUAAGAAGCCAACUAUACUUCCUUUGUAUAACUAACAAGCAUAACCCGCAAUGUACGAUAAACCUGGUCAAUAAAAGUCUGUGGGGCCUCCUUGGGGUCUGAUUUGAUAAACACUGGACGGUCUAAAUUAAUAAAAUCAGGAGCUCUCAUACUAACUGGUUUAUCAUCAGCACCUAUAUUCUACCUCUAAGGUUGAGCAGCUACCAAGCUAGUCAAUAACUGCCAAGCACUCUGCAUAUCCUGAUCUGUAGUGCUAGACGAAGGAACUGGAGGUGUUAGAUUCCUCCUAAUAUCCUAUGGAGGAGACAAAGUAGAUGAGGUAUGAGACGACAUCUCACUCUCAGCUUCACCUUGGCCUACUCUGGCUUGGGGCACCUAGCUGGUACCCUCUCCCCUAAUUGUAUCAAGUCGUCUACUAAUUUUUUGCUUCCUAGUUUAAGGAAUUGCUAAAAGAAACAAGGUAAAUAUUAGAGACAAACACUUAUGACCCAACUCUACCCACAAUCUAGAUUUAGGAAGAAGGUAAAAACCCUAAAUGUCAUGUAGCCUCCUGAUUAUAAAUGUAGCGCGCUACACAUCCAUAAUCAAAUAUCUACUAGACACGGCUCAGAGACAACCCCUAGGGCAGACAUGCGCAGAUACCAAGUUUGUCACAACCCAAACUUGAGGGCCAUGACUAGCACCCGACCAUACUUGUCGUGCACCAUCAUACAUUUUACCUAAUCUUCUUUGUUAUCAGUUAGGGCCAACGAGAUCAAUAUAAAUGGUAUCCAUGGAUCACGGACAACCAACGAUAAAAGAUGAUGGCAUAAACAUACAUAACAUGGGGUGGCCAGGCAAUCAAGAAACUAUAUAUAAGGUACGAGCUAUCAUUAUACCAUGAGAGACUAUACAACAAAAACCAGUAGACAAGGCAUACCAAACUAUACAUGAGUCAACACCUAUUUAUGAGCCUCUAAAGGAACAUAAGUUCUGCAACAUUGCUGGAAUAGGGCCCCGACAUAACCAUAAUAUCUAUACUAAAAUGCAUACCAAGACCACGGCAAGUGCGGAGAAGGGAUAUCACCAAUCACCACUGAACUGGACAGCCUACUAUUGUGGGGAAGCUACACCUGCCUAUCUAUCAGGACCCGCAGCACGACAUGCAGCAUCCAGAAACAAAAGGACGUCACUAUGAAUAAAGUAUUGAGUAUGUAAGACAGGGAACAAUAAAUACGAACAAUAAUGUAGGCAGGGAUAGAGAAUAUACAACCUAUAACAUCUGAGUACCUAUAAGGGAUAAUGACAUGAAAUGCAUGAUACAUAUGUAUAAAUACAUAAACUCUAAAAACAUACGCCUCUGUGGGCAUCAUCACCAUAUCGUACCCAGCCGUAGUAGGCUCGGUAAAAACAUACCCGGCCAUCACAAGGCUCGGUAGAAUUGUACCCGGCCACGUGGAGCUUGGUAAAACCCAACUGAUAAGUGGUUCACAAUAGGUGUUGUACCUGGCCGACUAUAGCGCCGCUCGGUAGAGUAAAAUAGAUAAAUAUAUAUAAUGAAUGCUCGACUCAUGGAAACAUGUUCUAGACCUUACGGAGUAAUGUUAGAUCGGUGUCCUCUGUACAUGUUAUUAGGACUAACUUUUCACUAUAAAGCUUAUAAGAAUCAGGAAGUACCAACUACAUUGAAAGCAUAAGAAUAAAAGAAGCAACAUCACAUCAAUCAUUCCACAAUAGGGGAAACAAUGUAAGCACUGCUAUCUUGUAAGAGUACAGUAUCUUUAGAAGCUCAUUCAUUACAUUAUGUACAUUCAGAGUCGUGAAAAAGACGGAAAGGGAUAGCCUCACAUACCUUGUAUAUACUGCCCCAAUCUCAAGCAAUGCAAUUACCACAACUCCUUAGUCUACAAUAAGAGAAACGCUACUAGCAUUAUCAUUUAAGCGACAUAACUAUUAUGUAUCAAUCACAACCUAUUUUAUGAUGAAACGGGCAGCACCUCCCCUAUAUAUAUAUUUACACCAUUCAAAACAAUCACCAAACAACCUAAACAAUAUCAAUAAUAAUCACAUUGUGCGUUCCAAAAUAGUCCACGCACAAUCCAAUUACUUCAUACAUACGACGACCACGGUAGUCGUGUCAAACGAUCCGGAAAUGUUACGAAGAACUAUCAUCACACAACCCUAAAUAUAUAUGGUGUUUCUCCACACCCUUCCACCUCUAAAACUCCACAAAAUAAUAGUUAAACACGUAGCCUAACAGCAUAACAAAAUAGUCCACAAAAUAGUCCGCUGCCAGUGAAUAACUCGAACUCACGGCUUCCGAUCACCAUCCGGUGAGUUAUUACAUGUAUAUAACGAAUUACCAUGAUUUCACAGAAGAAAAAUGUAUAAAAUAGUGCAGUAAACUUAACUUACUCGUUGGAUAACAAAGCCCUUCCCUUGCUUCUUCAAACUCUUGAUUUUACCCUCAAUUAGAACUUGAAAGAGAGGGAAAAUCGAUUAGGGUUUAUGUGGGAUUUUUCGGAGGAGGUUUGCGGGGGUUUUGGUUUUAGUAUUUGAGAGAUAUAUUAAAGGUUAUAUUUCAGGAGAUAAACAUUUAAAUGGGCUCAAUAGCCGGCCCAAAAUUUCCCUUUUUUGGGAUAUCAUUUUAACAAGUAGGUGACGCACCUACUUGUCACCAAGUAGCUUGCGCUCUCUCACGAAAAUAGCUAUAUCUCUCUACUCCCAUGUCGUAUUGAUAAACGGUUCAAUGAUUGGAAACUAUACUCAUAGAUCUUUGAUAUUCUUCAUAGAUCACCACUUAAUUCCUAGUAAAUUGGGAGAAAAGCUUAGAAAAUUUUGACAUAAUGUUUAAGUAAAAUUUUGAACCUAAGUGGUGACAACUUUUGUCGACAGUUGUUUCAUAACUCGUUUGACUUCAAGACUAUGAAACGGAUACUAUAUGAUUCAAAUACAUUAAAACAUGACCUCUUGAGUGUAUUAAGCACCUAUAGGCUUACUCGAAAAUACGAGUUACAACAUCCUUGAUUUGUUUAACUUCUAAUACUUGUUAAUCACCCUUAUACACCCUUAUAUCACUUAAGAUCAAUAGGAUUAACUUCUUAUCAUCUCAAGGAUAAUUCCUUCUUGGAUUUAUGUUAAAUAACGUAUGGCAUGAACUAAUGUGUGUGGAUAUGGGUUGUAGCAUAAUCGGCCUAGGAAAUUAGAUGCCAUACUCACUCACUUGGAAAAUUUCUUAGGAUCUUUGCUGAUGUACUAGGACAAAGCAUCUUCUAUUAGACUCUUCAUAAAAACAUUCUUCCAGAUCUUUCAUCCUUUUUGACCCUGACAGGUUAGUCACAAUAGAUCACUAAAUGAACCUUGGGAUAACUUGUGUCGUCACACGUGUCAAACUUUGGAGGUUUGUAACCCUAUUAUAGUUCUACACCCAGUUGUAUACAUAGGUCUUCAUAAUUCAAACCUUCUAUCCCUUUACCUCCUUCGUAUCCCUAAACCCAACUUUUCAAUUUCUUGAGUUCCUAAACCAUGUUCUUGAUGAGCAGGUCCUUCUCAGUGGAUUUUGGUGCAUAGGAGGUUGGUUGAGUAGAGUGAGGUAUGGUUUCCAUGUAUAUAGGGUUGUUUUGGUGAUUUCCCGGAACCUGGGUGUAAUGGUGAUCAUUGGUUGAGUUUUGAGGGUCGCGAAUAGGUUGUGGUGUGUUCUGGGGGCUUUGGUAGGUAGCACUUGGCGGGUACUAGAUCGGUUGAUGAUUGGUUAUGGUGGAGUUGGUAUCGAUAAUAGAUUGAGAUUUUGAGGUGAUUGCAUAUUCAUACUGUGCGACAGGGUUUUGUGGAUGAUGUUUUGGUGUGUUUUGGGAUGAUGUUGUGUUUUUGGUGUUUUUUUGGUUGAUAUGGGGGACAUUUAGGGUGAGGCAUAGGUUUGCCAAGUUGCGGACCUGCUCAAGUUGUGCCUAUAGCUCCAGUAUCUUUUAUUCCAAACUAAAAACCAAAUCAUUUGGUGUCGGAGUACUCCGACCAUCUGAAGUUUCUGCAUUCUCCAGCGUUUUCUUUCGAAUACCACUUAACUUAUCCAUUUUAGCUUUCCCUUUGCUCUUUGUAUUAUUUGGAGGAGGAGAAGGUAGAGGGUCUCUAGAUCUAGUGUGAUACACUAAUGAUCCCAGUAUGUGCGAACCAACCUUAGGGGAUGUGAAUAAUAAAGAAUAAAGAAAACAAAAGGUAAACAACUCAGUAAGGGUUUUAAAAAGUUUUCAGUAUUUAAACACGUAGUGCGGGAAUGUAAAUUCGUGCCCUAAUUUGGGACCUUCUUUUGCGCACGAGGUAGCCUUAGCAACAAAUGUAGUUUGAGAGAUCCAUAGCCAAUAAUUGCCUCAUUUCAUUAAUGUAAAAAUAAAUGACCCAAAACAAUAGUAAAUAUUGUUACUAAUGGCACUCAGUCUUAUUACAUUUAAAAGAAAAGCAAGUAAACCUACUUUACUUGGUCCCAGAAGGACCCUCUCUAAAUCGGAUGUUGUUGUCGAUCAUCUCUCCCAGCUCGCAUAGGUUCAGCAGUAAGAAUGCACUUGCCAAAUGCCCUCCUUCAUUUCCCUCAACGUUCUGGCUGUUGGUGACCUCUUUCUUAUCUUCCCUUAUAAUUCCAUUAAAUUUUACUCCAGAUAUUCCACCCUUUUGCUGGACUUAACAUCUCUCUCUUUCUACUCAUUAAUCAUUUCCACAUCGGCCUUCUGUGUGACAUAUGCUCAGCUUUAGACACUCGAACUCUUUUGUGUAGCUUGUUAUUCUUCACCAAUGCUUUGGCGAACUCAUCUAUGACCCCAUUUCCUGGACCAACCCUUCGCUCGAAGACUCCAGACAAACUAUCACCAACCAUGAUGGGUAAAAGUAUGAAUGGCCCGUAUGAUAUCAGUCUGAUUUGGUGGUGUCCUACUCCACAAUAAUCUUCAAAGUCCACCAAUGUUUUGCUUUAUUCUUAUAUGGGACGGCGUCACCCUUGAAAUCAGCUAUGAAGUGACUCAUCUUAGCGACCUGUGGUAUGAUGUGUCUUUUGCCUACCUGUCUCUUGCCUUCCUGUCUCACAACCUUGAGGACAUCUCUAGAUCUGAUGAUGAAUUCGUUGGUGGGGAACCACUAGAACAUCCACUAAAUCGUGUCAUUAGUUAACUUGUUGAGGAACUUCACCCAUCCUAUAGCAUUAUUAGGUUAAGCAAACUUGUCCGGAAUGUAAGUCAUUCUCUUGGGGUGAUGGAAGGAUAUGUGGUCGUUUCACGACCUUUGUGCAAACUCUUUGAGUUAUUGAACCCUUUGGAGAUGUUCUAACAUCAAAACUUGUAACAUUAAACUGCAACCUUCAAAGAAUUUGGACACCUUCUCACAGUGUUCCAAGGCCUGAUAAAUAUCGUCAGAGGGACAAUAGUGCGUGUUUGUCCCUCUAUCCUUUCCAUCAAAGUUUUAGCCACCAUGGCCAGCCUGGUAUGGAUUCUAUCCCCUUGGAUUGGGAAUAUCAGCAUACCCAAGAAACACACAAUGAACAUAAAGACCAUAUGAAUAACCCAGCCCAAGGUGUUGAUUCAGAACUCAUCAUCAAAAAUACAGUAAGAGCUAUUGUGACCAUAUCUUUCAUAGAGGAAGUCAAAAGGUACGUAAGAGUUCUUCGGGCACUCCAAAAUCAUCAUUUUUUUAGCCCGAUCAUCUCAAGCAAACCUCUAGCGAUGCGAUUUUCAUAUGCUAACAGACCAGGGCUAUCCCAAGGCAACCAAGCAAAUGCUCCUAUCUCUUUUAGAAGGGAAUCAUUUCUAUGUCUCCGAAAUGGAACAUGACCCUUUCCUUGUCCCAAAACAAAGUGGUAGCCUUGAUCAAUAUUUUGUUUGGUUGAAGAUCAAACAGUAAGGCAAAUUUCAAAGGACUCAUUUCACAUGAUUUUGGGCACUUGAGGGAAGAUCCCUCCACCAAUCUAGCAAAAGUGAAAGUAUGCUACAAACCAUACCGAAAGUAGGGACUACGUACCUCAUUUUUUGCAAAACAAAAGAUGGUUAAGCUCUUUCCCCCUCCAAGUAAUCUAUUUAAACAAUAAUGAUUAGCAUAUUGGAACUUAUUUCUCCCAAAAUUAAUGCAUAAAAUCAUGGUUGUGUCUGUUCGGAUUAUGGAAAACCCUAUGGACUAUUGGACGAGGCUUCUUAAAAGGUUAUUAUGCGGAAAACAUAUUAACCCGGCUAGGUUUGACCAUAAUACAUGCACAAUUAAUUAGAGUAAGGUUGCUAUAGAGAUCUAAACUAGGAUCAUCAAGGGACAACUUAAAGGGGAAAGGCACGUAACCGUCGAACGCACCGUUGAUCGACUAGUUUUAUCGCAAAUAUGCCUUUUUGAAUUUAAAAGGGUGAUAUACGGGAAAAACACAAGCAGUCAUCAAGCGUUGCAAUAGUAUUGAUUACGUACGCGAUGAAUAUGAUGUUGAGCAUGAUUUAUGCAACAACAACAAAUUGCAUGUGUUCAAGUAUUUUCACGUUAAAAAAACAAUAAAAGCAAUAUUUAAAUAAUUGAAAACCAAUUACGGAAAAAGAAAAUAAAGAAACAAGUCAAUUUCAGGAAAUAAAGGAAAUCAUAAAUAAGUAGUUAAAUGCAAAUAAGGGGGAUGGUGAACGCAAUAAAUCAUGCUUAAAACUAAUUCAAAAAAUAAAUUCGUCAUGGUAAGUGACUAAAUAUCACCAGAAGAGUUGCGAUGUUGUCGCGUCCUCUUUUUGCCUUGCAGACUUUGAGUAUUUGAAGAGUCGUCACCUAACGGAUUAAGGUGCUCUAGAGCAAUUAACUCAUGUAACCAGUUUGCAUUACCAGAGAUUAGGGUAAGGGCUCGAAAUAACCUUGAGGGGAAGGUGUUAGGCACCCUCGGCGGUCCACAAUGGUGGGUUGUUGAUACCCUAAUUUUCCCUUUAAUAUUUCCAACACUAUGCCCUGACAUCAAUUAGUAUUUUUCAUACAAUUUCUACAAUUUAAAAAUAUUCUAAUUAUUUUAUUCCAGCAAUUUAUUUAUAAAACAAUCAUUGGUUGCAUCACAAAAAGUUUUAUAAUACUUUUUGUGGCAUAUUUUUAUCAUUUGCAGUUGUACUAAGUUUUAAUUAUUGCACAAAUAGUCAUAUUUGUGUUUGUACGAUAUAGUUGCAAUUACUUUGUCAUUAUAGCCUGUGCAUGUAUUACUAUAUUAUUUUACUAGAAAUAGCCUUUUAAAUUUUUAAUAUAUUAAGUAAUUUUUUAAAAAUAUUUUAGGCAUGAAAACCAUUAUAAACAAACUAUUAGUUACAAUUUUAAAAAAGUUAUCAAUUAAAGAGGUAUUUGACAAGUAGCCAUUUUUUAUCCUGGCGCUAACCGAACGAAAACCCCAAACCAAGCCCAGAUCUACCAUAGCCCAAAGCUAAAACCCCUACCCAACCCCUAACCCUUUCAAUCAUGGUUGUUGAUCACUAAGAUCAACGGUCACCAUUACCUCUUUCUUUUUUUAAUUCCAAUGACACCCAAACCCUAGCCAUUCGCUUACACCUGCCCCUGAAACUCUCCACUCUCCAAUUUUCUCAGAAACCAAACUUAACCCUAUCCACUACCACCCUCAACUAGCAAUAAUCCCCUUUAUUCCUACCCGAUAUAUUGCUUACAAUGGUUGUACAAGGCCUCUACUUGUCUCCUAUUUUCCCUGGUUGCUCGAUUGUGUGGUAUCGUAGAAGGACCUCGAAAAGUUCUGGUCCAAAUCUCAAUCAAGACUAAUAAAAGAGUAUGUAUAUGAUUUGUGAGUGCUUUCUAUCAAAGUUUCACGGCUCAAAUCUUUGAUUCAAGGGCCAGCAUCUGUUUACCCUCUUUUCUUUUUUGAAACAUAGCAUUUGGACUUGAAUCCAUCAAAAUUCUUGUAGAUCUAAAGUGAUUUGAGUUCGUCAUUGCUCUUUCCUUAAGACUCCUUCAUUUCUUUACUGUUUAAUCAAUUUUUAAAUAUUUUUGUUAUAUUAGGGUUUGUUAUUUGUUAUUUAUUGGUCGAAACUCUAGAUAUCAUAAUUAUUUUAAAACUUCCACGGCUAUUCUUUUAGGUUCUUUUACUGCUAUACUACUAACCGAUUUUUUAAACACUACGAUACUCCGGGUUUUGAUUUCUAUGAUUUUUGUUUAAUCGAAUCUCUAUGUGUUGACAUGCUUUCAAUUUUUUCUUCUUUAAGUGUUUUCAAAUUAUGGUUUCGAAUUAUUUUCCGUCUAAUUUAUCUGUGUUCCCAAAAAUUUUACUCAACCUAUUUUUUUAUGGGAAUUGAUAUAUUCUUUCCAGAAUUAUUGAGUGAUCUCUGUUAAAAUUUUGUAUGCAUGAUUCUUGGUUAUUUCCGUGUUUAUGACCUUAAUUCGUGGUUCUUGUCUUAUUUGUUUACUGUAUAUUUACUGAUUCUUUAAAUGAUUCUUUCCUAAAUUAAAGUUUUGACUAUUUAAUUCUAUAGUUCUUUAAUUUGGUUUGAUUUGAACUCAUUUCUUUAAUAAGGCAUCUGAUUCUUUACUUCUUUACUCAAUCUGAUUGAACCUUUUGCCUUAACUAGUUUGUGUCGUUACGGUUGGCUAAUUUUCCUUAAUUAAAGAAGAAGACUAUGAUGAACUUUGAGAGAUGGAUUCAAAGAUCCCUUAAUUGUUGAUUCUUGAUUACUUUACCUUAUUUGCUCUAGUCUUGAACUACUAUAAAAACUCUUUAUUUUAACUUCUUAAAGACGGACAUUAGUUCAUCAACUGCUCUGACACUCUAAAAAAGCUAUUUGUUCUUCCUGCCAUUUGUGAUCUUCACAAGUCUAGCCGACUGUAUGCCAAGGCUAUAAAUUGCAUAAUUUAUGGCUUCCAUCUUGUGCUAUUUUUCCCUAAUUAGUAUGCCUCUAAUUAUAUUUUAGAAUCUAAACCAAAGCAUUUAAUUACUACUUUAGCUCAUCAGUCCUGAAUUAAUUCCUGCUUCGGUCUAUUGUUUAUCUAAUAUGCCUAAAUACUACCUUAUUCAAAUAUGUGAUUAGCAUGUCUCCACUUUACUUGCCUAUUCAUUAUUUUGUUUAACAUGUCUCACACUAUCUUAUUCCAUAUGUGAUAAGCUUGUUUGUCUGACUACGGAUUAUAUAGCAUGCCUAAACUUUAUUUUGUAAGUGUCUGAUUAUCACGUCUACACUUGUAAUACUUGCCUAGCCAUUCUAUUAAGUUCUUGCAUGUUCUUCCGUACUCCUGCUACGUUAUCUAUUAUCUCUAGGAUUACUCUAGUUGUGUUGUUUAUGUGUCCUCAACAUGUUUCAAUUGUGAUCAUUACUUCAUGUUUCAAUGACCUACAUUAUAUCUAACCUAUUAGUUCUAUACAACCCCCGGAGAAUUCUAUGCAUCCUAUUUUUUUAUGUGCUCCACUAUACACUAAGGUGUGUUCUAUAUGUCUCUGAAACCUCUCUCAUCGUGUGAAACCUAUUUGCCAAGUGGUUCUGAAUAAUGGUUGUUCUUUUAUUUGUGUUUGCCUUAAAGUAUUUUUCAUACGUUUCUCAAGUUGUUUUACCGCCAAAUUAGUGAUUUCUAGGAACCCUCCUCGUAAUUUUUACCAAAACUCUUUCAAAUCAUGUCAAGCACUCUCACUUAUUCUUAGCUUAUGAAGUUACACCCCUCUGGUAUGUGUACUUCUUCGAGGUCCCUAAGAUCUCUAUAAACUCUAGCAUAUCAGAGUUGGCUUUUCCACACUGCACAUAACCAGUUUUUAUUUGAGAAAGUCUGGGUGUGACCACUGCCCGAGAUCCUGGAGGUCCUUAGGGAACUCUGACACACCUAGACACACAUGUGGUAAUUAACCUUAGUAUUUGAGACUAGUGAAGGCCUAGUACACCAGGAUUUACUUUGAGCGUACUUCAGGCUUCCUAUAGCUUAAUUUCUAUGAUAUCUAUGUAUUUUUUAUUCAACCAUUGGUCUGUAAUAAUUAAUUAUAAACAAAUAUUGGGGUGACUAGUAAAAAGGGUAGAUAGUUGUAGAAUGUGGGUAAAGUUUGGUAGAUAACAUGUCUAUUGGUUUUACUUUGGUUCAAAUGUGUUUUGUUAGAUAACAUGCCUAUAGGUUUUACUUUAGUUCAAAUGUGCUUUGCUAGAUAACAUGCAUAUAGGUUUUACUUUGGUUCAAAUAUGUUUUAUUAGAUAAUAUGCCUAUAGGGUUUUGCUUUGGUUCAAAUAAGUUCUGCCUGCUUUACUUUAUAUGAUUAGAUACCAUGCAUAUAGGGAAUAAAAUAACUAAGUUUCAGUUUCCAUUACGACAUAUAUUCAAAUAUGUCUCUUAAGAAAUCACACCUAUAGGAUCGAGAAUCCAUUUAUAUUAGAUCAUGCCUAUAGGAUCUAAAAUUUGAUUAACUAUAGAACUCACGCCAUAGGGUCUAAAUAAAUUUAAUUAAUUAUCCUACUUAUCUCUUUAAUGGGCUUCAAUGUUGUGUUAAUUAAUGUCACUAGAAAUCAUGCCAAUAGGAUAAAGAACUUCAAAAUGUUUUCCCAGAAUUGUGACUGCAUAUACACACUUAGGCAAGCCUUAGGGUGUUAAAAUUAAAACAAGUUUUGCUUAGGUAUGAAAUUAUCCAGGCUUAACAGGCUAUAAAAACUAGUUUGCAAACUAUUUAGGGUUCGUAACUUCAUUAUGCAUAUCCUAAGUAUGUAACAUUCAUCUAGAUAUCAUGUUCUUAGUUUUUUUGAACUUCCUUCAAAAUAUGUGUUUUAGACGUGCUGUUUGUUUGCCUAUAUAUACGGUUGUAAAUGCGAGCCUUCUAACUGCUUGUUCUUAUUUGCUUGUCCUAUAUGUUAUUUUUUUGUUGCCUAGAUUUUUUACCUCUUACAAAAUUGUAGGCUGUGUACAACGGUCUAAAUUUAGAUGUCUCAAAUUCCUCCUAGACCAUAAGGAAAGGACGGGUAACAGCACGCUUAGAGUUCACUAAUUUAACUUGCACAUAUAACCACUAAGGGGAGGGUAAUGGUUAAUAAAAGGAUAUGAUGACAUGCCCAUUAAUGUCACGUAUAGACCCUCUCAUUGAGGAGUGAUUGCCAAGAAUUUUAUGGGUAUGUUCGUAUAUAUUAAUCAACCUAGGAGUUCCCUUUCCCAAUUCCAUAUGUGUUUAAAUUCUCUAAACUUCCUUUUCUUUACGUAUGCAUAUGUUGUCCAAAUCUCUUUACCUUCAUUAUUCAAACUUCCUUGACCAUAUGUGCAUUUAGAUGGGAAAGCUACGUUAUCUGCAAAUACUUGCUUGCUUGUUAAUUGACUAAUUCAUAUAGUUUAAGUUCAGUCAGGACCCACCAUUGUGGAUCGCGAGGGGUGCCUAAUACCUUCCCCUCAAGGUUAUUUCGAGCCCUUACCCUCUUCUCUAGUGAUGCAAACUAUUUACACGAGUUAAUUACUCUGGGUGCCCUAAUGCAACAUAAUCUGUUAGGUGGAAACUCUUAAAAUACACAAUUCCUAAAAAGAAACGAGUUGUUCCUCCAUGAAUGUCGAAACCUGGACUUCCCCGCAAAAAGUGGAAAAAAAGGGGCACGACACCAUGGCGACUCUGCUGGGGAUAUAUUAGGCUCUUACCACAACGAACUUAUUUUUUGAAUUAGUCUCAACCAUGCUUUAUCCCGUGUACACUUUCCCUUUAUUUGGAUUUAACUUAUUCUUUAUGAUUUCUUUUAUUUCCCGAAACUGUCUUGUCUCUUUGUUUUCUUUUUCUGUAAAAUUUAAUUAUUGCGUUUAUCAUUUUUUAUGUGCAAAUACUUGAUAACAUGUUUAUUGUAUCAUAAAUCAUGCCCCACAUCAUAUUCCACUGAUGCAUAUCAAAUCCAAUAGCAACGCUUGAUGAGAUGUUGUGCUCUUCCAAUUUAUUUCCCUUAAAUUCGGAAAGGCUUAUUUUCGGUAAAACUAGUCGAUCAGCAGUGCAGUCAAGCUUGCCUUUUUCCCUCAUUUUGUCCGCUUGAGGGUACCAGCCUAGAAUCAUAUAGUAACCUUACUCUUAUCGUAAUUGUGCAUGCAUCAUGGUCAAACCUAGUCAGAUUAAUAUGUUGUCCGCAUAAAACUCCUUUAAUACAAACCUUAUCCAAAAGUCCACUGGGGUUUCCAUAAUCCCAACGGAUAUAAUCAAAUUCUAUACAAUAAUUUGGAGAUCUGAGUGCCUAUAUACUAAUCAUAAUGUACAAAUAGUUGAGUCUUGCGGGGGAGAAGGGCCUAACCUUUUUGUUUUGUAGAAAAUGAGACACGAGGUCCCCAGAUUCGGCAAGGUCAAAAACAUCCCAUCAUUGCUACUAGAUUGUUGGGAGGACCUUUCCUCAAGCAACAAGACUCAUGUGAGAAAGCCCUUUGGCAAUUUACCUUCUCUACUAGACAUUAAGCCAAACAUUAUGUUGAUCGACGCUUCCACUUUGUUCUGGGAUAGUGAAAGGGUUGUGUUUCAUUUCGGCAAUAUGGAAAUGACACCACUCCUAGAAGAAAUUGGGGGACUUGCGGGACUGACUUUGGAUAGCCCUGGGUUGUUGGUAAUGGUAAAGGGUUCCCGAAGAUGAUAGGGAUGAAGAAAAAUGUUGACUUAGAAUGCCUGAAGAAAUCCUACAUACCCUUCAAAUACACAUAUGAGGCAUAUGGCUAUAGAAAGUCCUACCUACCUUCGAUGACGAGUAUUCUAUCACUUUUAUGGGAGACAUCCACCGUAGAAUGUUCAUGUUCAUUGUGUGCUUCUUGGGUCUAAUAGUUAUCCCAAUGAAAAGGGAAAGAAUCCAUACUAGAUUGGACAUGGUCGCCAAGACUUCGAUGAAAAGGAUCAAUGGACAGACAUACACCAUACACCAUAGUUCCCAUGAUCAUAGCUGACAUCUACAAGGCUCUGGAGCGCUGUCAAAAGAGGAUCGAGAAUUUUGAGGAUUGCAAGAUGUUGCUACAAUUAUGGUUAUUAGAACAUGUUCAAAGGGGCAUGAAUCGCCAAGAACUUCCAUGAAGGCUUGGAACAAUCAUAUUGCCUUCCAUCACCCCGUGCAGAUGACAUACAUUCUGAGUCCAUCAUCAGAUCCAAGGACAUUCCACACUUGGUGCUGAUUGGGUUGAGGGGAAUAUACACUUAUGUCACUAUCCAACUUAUUAGGCAAGCAGGAAUGAAGUAGGUUAUACCAAGGGUUUCCAAGAUAAGUCACUUCAGAGAAGACAUUUAGGACGAUGGCGUCCCUUAUAAGUGCUAAGCUCAGCACAUGCGGCACUACGAGAUCAUUGUGUAAAGAACAUCGUUGAGCCAGACAAGUAGCAUAAGCGGUGUGAACGUCUCUACACUACAUGGUUAGAAGACAAUCUAAAGGGAAUUGUGAUGCUAGUAGUCGGUCGAGGGAAUAUGAUCAUAGACGAAGAAGCUGAGGCUCAAGUUCAAUAUAACAGACUGCACAACAGGGUCCAUGUCUCUGAGAAUGAGCACCGAGAAAUACACGAUACAAAUAUGAGGCUAAUAAACGAAUGGAAAGAAAUGGUUUUCAGUUCAACCAGAAGGUUAGAGUAUCUAGAGCAAGGAUUAGUGAAGCUGGAGGGUAAAACAUAAAGAGGAUUGAGGAUUGCCAGAAUGCUGAAGGAAGCGAAGGAGGACAUUUGGUUAAAGCCUACCUACUGUUGGGUCUGCGCGAGAUGGGAAACCUGUAUGAUGGAGUCUUGAAGAUCGAAUCUGGGGAAGGUCCUUCUAGGACAAAGUAGGCUAGAUUUAUUGCUUUCCUAAAUGUAACAAGGCCAAGUGCCAAUAGUGACUUACUUUUCUAUUAUCUUAGUGUCAUUUUAGAAUUUUUCUAUUUUCAUACUAUGAAAUAAGGCAUUUACUGGCAUCUAAAGUUGUCCAAAUAUAUUUGUCACUAGGCCUACCUCGGACACAAUGAGACUCCCAAAUUAGGACACAAAUUUAAAUUCUCGCGAUAUGUGUUUGAAUACUACAAACAUUUCAGAACCCUUCCUAACUUGUUUACCUUUUUAUUUUCCAUUUUCUUAUUCCCAUACCCUAAGGUUGGCUAGCUUAUACUGGCAUCAUCAGUGUAUCACACCAGAUCUAGACGCCCUCCAUCCCCUCCUUCUCCAAGCAAUAAUAAGAGCAGAGCGAAGGCUAAUACGGACGACUUAAGCGGCAUUCGAAAGGAAAAUGUAGAAAAUACAGAAAGUUCAGAUGUCGGAGUACUCCGGCACUGAAUGAUUUAGGUUAGAGGUUGGAACAAAAUAUAAUGGAGCUACAGGUAGAACCUGAGCAGGUCCGCAACUUAGAAAACAUAUCCCUCACUUUGAAUGUUCCAAACAUUAAGCAACAAAACACAAAGUACCUGACACCUCCUCAAAACACACAUAACUAAAAUCCACAAAACCCUCUUGCACCACAUCAAUAUGCAACCCCACCUCAAAAUCCCAACCCUUUUCCAGUACCAACUCCACCACAACACCACCAUCAACCAAUUCAAUACCCAUGUAUGCGGCAAAAUCAUAGGACUUAUUUCUUUCUAUCAAGCCACUUCAGAAAGUCUCGAGACACCAAGGAUGUGGAUUUGCAACCGAGUUACCUCCCUCAGGGUUUGUCGAGGCCCGUUAUACAGAAGAUGAAGAUCGAGGCUAGAACAAAAUAGAAACUCCCAAGGCACAUGUCUAAGUCUAACAAAGUCGGCCUACCCGUAGACUAUAUCCAAGCGUCAUGUCUGGUCGUCCCAUCCCAAUGCUCUUACAAUUUAUACAUGGUACCAUGUUAUUGUUUGCCCUUAUUUAUAAAAGGAAACCUCACCAUCUUGUAAGGCGUCGUGGUCGCUCCAACUAUUCUACACAAGAUCAAUAAUAUCUCUUUCUUUUCCCUCUAACUUACAUGCUCGAGGCUACUCUUUCCAUUUAUUGGUUUCAUACUUAUUCUUCAUUUAUUAUUCUAUAUUGGCCAUAAUGAGCCUUCUUUAAUUAUAUCUAACCUGUUAUCCCAUUCCCAACUAACCUCGAUAGCUAGAGCUCGAGCUGGAAAUCGACCUCGAGGCCUUCCAUCGAUUAGACUGAAGUAUGGGCAGCAAGCCCCUCGAUUUGAUACCUGGCCCAUUUUAGCCUUCAUCUUAUCGUUCAAAUUCAUACCCAUAGCAUCAAAUUCUCUAAGAACUAGCAUAAUAAUAGACCACAUAUUUUUAGUCCCAUUUAUAAGUUUAAUUGUCGUUACAAUUUUUACACUAAAUAGUUGGCGCGCACCGUAUGAUAAAAAACAAUAAUGAUUUUUUUCUUCCUCGUUUUAUCACACAAAUGUAAGUUAUCUUUCACACAUUUUCUUGUCCAAUAUCUUUUGAUUCCAGGUCAAAAUGUCCGUCUCGGCAAAUAGAGUUGAGAACGACAACCCCAAAAACCAUGGGGAAAAUUGUGUGGUUGUUCUGGCUGUUGGCAGGCUACCGUAAAAUCCUAAUAACACACUUGGACAAAUUUUAGCAGACGAGAAUUCGCAGGACGCAUAGCCGAUCAAUGAAGCCUUACAUACCGCCAUGAGGAUACGACAUGACAACCAACAAGAAGACCAAAAAACCCCAACCUAGGAAGAACACGAAGUUAAUCUUCAUGUUAUUCUUAAAAUGUUGAAGGCACAAAAGUUGGCCAUAGACAGAUUAUAAAGCCAUUGGAAGACUCCUAGCAUAGUGCCACCGGAAACAGCUCCCUCUACCGAAUAGGUACCCAAGGGAUAGAGCAAUAAUGGAUCGAUAGCCGACCUUGACAUAGUAAAACUGCUUAAGGAUCUUACCAAAAGGAUUGAAACGGGAGAGAAAAUGAUAGCACCCAACGAUAAGAAGGUCAAGACCUACAACACUAGGGUCGACUAGAUCUUGGGUGCACCCCCGGUCCUUAAGAGUGUGGAUUCAAAUAAGUUCAUACAAUGGUCGCUCCCCAAGAAAAUGGCCCCAAAACGCACUUUAAAGAAGUUUGGAAUGUCGGAACACCCUAGGUAUAACGGGAGCUUAGAUCCCAACGAACACAUCACUUCCUAUACGCGCCCAGUAAAAGGCAAUGACACGAAAGAUGAUGAGAUCGAGUCAGCCUUAUUAAAGAGGUUCAGAGAAACGCUCUCGAAAGGGGACAUGCUGUGGCAUCAUAACCUAGCACCUAACCCGAUCAACUCACUUACCAUACCAACAGAUUACUUAAUAAAGGCAUACGGUGGUUCCAUCAAAGCAACAACAAUAAUGUCUGACACAUCUGAUAUUAAACAAAGUGAAAAUGAAAUGUUGUGAGAAUUCGCGUCUCGCUCCCCGAUGGAAAGAAUAGAAAUACCCUUGGUCCCAGACAACUAGGUGGCACAGACCUUCACUCGAAGCCUUAAUAAACAAAGCCCGACAUUUCCAAGGAAGUUAGAAAUAAACUUUAUCUGGUACCCAGCAAAGACCUGGGCGGAUGACCAAAUUCGACACUAGUCGCAAAUCAGGGUCGUGUAUGACCAGCCAGGAGCCCCUUCGGGCUUAGUAUACUGAAGCAGGCUCAUGACCAAGAAAUAGAUGCCAAACAGAGAAAGGUAUCGCUCGAAUACCACAGAAAGGAGGAAUGCCUCAUGAUGCAAUCUACCUUGAAAUAAACUGAGAGUAGAUCGAGGAAUAUAUCCUCGAGGAAUCAUUAAUAGAUCCAGAUUCGAUGAGGAUAAAAGGCCAGCAAGGGUGCCUCGCCCAUCAAGAUACAAUUUCAACAUUGUCAUAUCAGACAUCAUGUUCACCAUCAGUGAAACUAAUGACACCAGAUGGCCCAGACCUAUUCAGUCGAAUCCCCUUCAAAGGAAUCAAAGCUUGGUGUGUGAACUCUAUAACACGCACGACUACGGGGCCAAAAAUGGCAACAAACUCCGGAGGAAAAUUUCCAAGCUACUCCAUAAAAAUCACCGCUGAGAACUGUCAAGCGAUCGGUCUCGUGUUCAGUUUCGAGUAAGGAAGGCGGCCAGGAAAAACGAAGCAAAUGGGUCGUGACAUAUUACCAUGAUAGUGGGGGAGAAACGACACUCUCCAAGAACAUAUAAAAAGGAAAGUAAAAUUGUUCGUCACCAGAUAAAAUCAGAUCUGGGGAUAUAUUCUUGAGGACACUCUCACAUUUAGCAAAGAGGACACCAAGACCUUGUCUAGGCCUCACACUGACGCACUGGUAACAAUUUUCCUUGUUUGAUGCAUUUCAAAUAAAGCAUGUGCUCAUGAAUUCAGGUGGUUCGAUCAAUGUUGGCAGGCCAAAGAUGAUAGGGCGGCUCGAACCGACCGAGUCAAAUCAUGCCGACCUCUCAAAUCUUUGGCAAAUUCCAAACAGCGAUCGCAACGACAAAGAGAAACACCAUUCUCUCAGUUUUGCAUGGCUGGCCCAGACUGGAACACCAAGUUCUAUGUCAUCAAAUGAAGUACAAAGCAUGGACGCCUUGUUCAGAAGACCGCGGACGCACCGCGUGAAGGAAGUACCAUCCCCCAUCAUUAAAAGAAUGAAAUGCUACGCACGAUACAGAAUUAAAACUGUCGGCAAAAAGCAACACGUGACAAGGGGAUAGUUUGCAUCACAUAAUGUAUCGCCGGCACCAAUAUCUCCACUCUCGAAAAAUUCAAGGAGUAAUCGAACCACAUUUUCAACUAUGCCCAAUUAAACACAGUGGAGGAUCGUAUUGAGUCCUUUCUCCAAACCACAGCGACGCACCAGACUAAAGAAUAUCACACACGCACCUCAUGAUGAGGUAAGACCGAGCCCUUUCAUUAUUUUUCACUAACCCAUAUGCAGAAAACUGGUCAGGGCGGUCGAAAAUAUUAUCCCAACCCAAAGAUCUCAAGGGCUUAAGGGCAUCAGUUGUACUCUUUCCCUUUAGCUGAGCUUUCUUCCCAAAGGAUGUUUUGCCAGCAAGGUUCCUAACGACCAUGUACCACCUAAAUAGUUCCCAACAAGCAUACAAGACUUCUUUUUCAAUCAAUCAUGAACAUUGGAGGCACCCUAUUGAGAGGUCAUCCACUCGGAGGAAAAUAUGGAACGACAAACCAAGUUUUAACUGAGCAAUUGAUAUACCGAGACAAAUAGUUGAGUGAAUCGUGUCCGCAUAAGCUGUGCUCGCAAUAACAAAACAAUAUGUACCUACUCCAAGCAAUAAAAUAAUAUCGUUUUCCAAAGCACAUCGCACUCCAAUGCAAAUUCAAUAUUUUCACAGAAAUGACUCCUACGUCGAGAAUGCCCCGAAAUACUUGGAGACUAGCGUCAAUAAUUUGACACCCGCGUGAACUCAAAGUCGGAACUUCAUACUCGUACGCUCUCAAUGAGGCAGCAUGGAGAUUACAAAGCAUCUCCAAAGAAAAAAAUUAUCCCAAACACUGGGAGACUGGCAUCACAAACCUGGAAAGCGCAUGACCCUAGGGUCGAAAGACCCAAGGUCGUAAAAGCCCUCAAUAAGGCAACUCCGAGCUCACAAGUAAUGGCCCACAAGCCUGAGUAAACUCGAUGACUCGAAGAUUAUUGUUAAUUUCCAUUCACAUAAAAACCCGAGGCCAUAAGACCUCCAGUGGGAAAGCUCGGUCUAGCAAGAUCGAUUCAAUAUAACAACAAAAUUGUAAGACCUCAAUAGGCAUGACAAAACUGUAAGACCUCAACAGGCAUGGAAAAACUGUAAGACCUCAACAGGUAUGGCAAAUCUGUAUGACCUCAACAGGCAUGAAAAUUUUGUAAGACCUUACUACUGGCACAGAACUCAAUCCCGAAGUUUAGGGUAUGGGUCGCAUUUGUAGGACUCCUGAAAGGGCAUACCCUUGAUGAAGAUGCCUAAACUAUCACACUUGAGAUAAAAAAUGGCUCCAGCUAAACAUAUAUGACUAUGGUCAAAACUGCUGCACUAGCCAAAUUAACGCGACUUAGGGACGCCUGACCAUCGUUCACAAAAUCAUAGGACAUUACUUCGAAUCUACUUUCAAAAGACGGUAAAAAUAUGCUACUCUCAAUAGGAAAACGAGCUUCAACCAUGUUAGCUCGAAAUCACAUGGCUUUGAGCUACGAGUUAAACUUUUCGAGGUGCUCAAAAAUCACCUCUAACGACUUGAAAUCGAGGUUCUUCCCUAACCUAUGCAGUUCAAGAAAAAUUAUUCCAAAAAUGAGAGGAAAAUAAAACUUACAUAUGCCCAAGGGCAAAAUAGUAAGAGCCAAAGUCGUCAGCCAAACGAGCCUCAUGGCCACACACUAAAAGGUCUUAACGACCAAAAGCGUAAGAGCUACUGUCGCCAGCUUAUAAGAUUAAAAACUUGAGGAUUAAAAAUAGCUCGAGCCCUAACCUGAUUCAGAGACCGGAUCCAAAAUAACUAACUAUACAUGACUAAGGGCACAACAUAAGAGCCCUCAUCAUUUGAUCCACAAACCUCAUAGCCACAUUCUUGAAAGGUCGCUUUGAAUCGAGGCAUAAGCACCAUCGUCAUCCACGCAUGUAGGCAGAAAAACUUGAGGGUCAAUUAAGCAUGAGUCACAACCCGACUCGAAGACUGAAUCCGAAAUGGAUAAAAUACAAAUGACCAAGGGAAAUGCGUAAGAGCCAUUACCAUCCGCUCAUACAGGCACAAGAGAUUAAAGUUCAAGUAAGCUCAAGUAAAAACCGGACUCAGAGAUAAAACCCAAAAUAGUUGGGCAAAGCACAAGAGCUCUAACACCUACUUGAGCUAAAAAUCACGCUUAACCGAGCAUGAAAGAGCCUCCGGGCUUGCCUGAUGAGCUCGGAAGACGUAUGACGAAUCAAAGGGUUCUCGCCAAACUCCAAAACCAUCUCGUUUGGUCAAAAGCAAGGCAAAACAAGAUACAAAAGAGAUAAAGAUUUAGGUUCGUUUUAUUUAUAUACACAAAAUGUGCGUUAUCCAUCUAUAAACAUGCUCUACGAAUGUCAAAUACAAAAUAGCAAAAUCUAUGCUCCGCCCUAGAAGGCUGCAGCCUACCAGCCCAUCUUUACUCUCGGUCGCAACUAUAAAAAGUCACCGAGCAUCACGCUCGUCCGCCCUUAUUCAGGCUAACUGUUCCAGGAGAACGAAACCCCUGAUGCCGAUCUCUUCAAGCACCUCUCUUCGGGAUCCACAAUGAACAUAUUCCUCAAUUUUUUUUUUCAUGUUCGAGGGCUUGCUUCAACUCAUCUUGGCUAUCAGUAGCGUCCUUCAAAUGAGUCGACAUCUCCUGAUCAGCCUCAGCCCGACGCAAUGCUUCUUUAGCCCGAGCAUCGAUUAUUCCAGCCCUGACCUUCGUGAGAUCAGACUCGAGCUUCGCCAUAUCAACUUGAACUAAAACAUUGUCAAUGGCCAAGAGGAUUUGCGCCUCAAAGGCGGGAACUUUAUCCAAGACACCCUUCUCCUCUGAAGCCUGAACCUGCACGUGAGCCUUUAUUUCACCACAAGCAUUCCUAUCUCGGUCGGCUUCGCCUCUAAGGUACUCCAGAGCCUCCAUCCUUUUCUGCAACUAAAAUUGGCAAAAAGAUUAACCUUAAGGGUUAAAAAGGUAAAUGCAUACUACGAAAGGAUACCUGCUCCAUCAGAUAGCUCUCAUAAUUCCAGCUCUUGUACGCCUCAUAUCGCUAGCGCAUCAACUCAACCUCUUUCUCCUCGCUGAGGACCUAAGGGACAUACCCUCAUCUGGAGCUUUUUGACGCCUAGCCCCAUGACGGAGCAAUUCAGAACCAACCUCAGUUGAGUCAUAUUCAAUCGGAUGAACCCCCGGUCCAGAACCAAAGACUUCAUGAAUAGUAGGCUCGGGAAAUGUUCUCUCCUCAAAGACACGAGCCCGUUUAGCCCCGGUAAAAGCUCCAUCGCACUGCCAGUGUAGUCCCUUUAAUCAGCAUCGUCCCUUGGCAUAGAUGCCGAAGACUGCUACCCCUCUCCGGAGGAACACAACCACGCCCCAAUGGACCGCCCGAUAACUACAAUGGAAAAGACAGUACAAAAGAAAGAGGAAAAUGUCAUCCCAAAUAUACUAAGACCAAGGUAAAAGCAGCAUAUGUGACCUUGGUGUUUCACUUUCCAUCUACCCCAGUGUGAGCAUGUGAUUUUUGCCACAUGAAUUACUCCUACAGAAUUCCAAAGAAUUAUAUUUUUUUAAUUGUUUAUUAUUUUAGGAAUUAUUGUAGAAUUUUUGUAAUUGUUUGUAUUUUUUCUAUGCAUGUUUAAUUUUAUUUAGUUCAUGAAAAAAUACAAAAAUACAUUGCAUUUGCAUUUAGGGUUUAAUUUUAUAUUUUCUAGAUUAAUUAGUAAAUUAGUUGUUUUAUAAAAUAUGAAAAAUCACAAAAAUAGUUUAUUUUGUAUUUUAACUCUUUAGGUUUCAUUUUAUAGUUUUUCUUUAAUUUUAGAAUUUAAUUAAUUAUUGAAUAUUAUGAUGAGUGAUUAAUCUAAUAUGGUAAGUUAAUUUAGUUUAAGAAUUUAUUUAGCUUUUUCAUUUUAAUUUUGAAAAGAAAUGGAUUUGAAAUUGAAAAAGAAAAAGAAAAGUAAUAAAGGAAAUCCAAUUUUUUGGGCUAUUGCAUUUAUAUUUUCCCUAGUCCUAUGUGUUUAAAUACCCCUGGAACUGUUCAAGACCCGGCCCAACCACGCCAUACCCGGUCCAUAUCCCCUGUCCAACCAAACGACCCCGUUUGCACCAUGUUACAGGGGAAUUAUUGAUUUAGUUUGAUCGGACGACCAUGAACUAAUAUUUAGUUUCUCAUAUAAGUGUCCGAACAGGUUUUCCUUCCCAAUCCAAACACUCCUUCAUUCACCUCAACCUUUUGAGAUCUUGAAGAACCCUAGCACUGCCCCUAAAAUUCGCACACCCUCUGGUGGUGGCGCCACCUCAAAUAACCCCUGAAAUCACACCCUAUAACCUUAGCCAUUCCAUAUUCCAUAACCCAAAACCACGUCCCACGAAUCACUCUAUACUUGUUUGAAUCUCUAAUCAAAGGAUGAAGCCCUAAACCCCCAAAUUGCCUUACCCUCAUAUCAGUGGCAUGCAAGACAUUGGCCUCCAUGUUUUUGAGUUUCAAAGUCUGAUUUAACACAAAAUUAAUGAUGCUCGCUGGUUCUUGAUAAAGAAGAAGCGAUUGCAUUGGUUUUUGUUAAAUCGGAGAAUUCAGUGUUGGUUUCAAGUUUAAGUCGGUAAGUUUUCUUAUAUUUUCCUAUCCAUUUUUUUGUGCAUCAUCUAUUCCCCUUCUUUUUCUUCACCUUUCUUUAAGUAGUUUCUUCUGUUUGAAAUUUAGCAUAUGUCCAAAUUCUUAAACUAGGAUUUUCCGUUUGGAUUGAUUUGUGUUCAUAUAUGUUCUGUUUGUUUUAUAGUUUUUCUUUUCAAAUUUUAAAAGUUGUUCUCUGAUUUUUGUUUGGUUUAUGCAUUUGCAUGUUUAGUUAUUAUUCAAGACUUUCCUGUUUUAGUCUCAUAGCAAAUUUAAUAAGGUUGUUUCGACUUAGUAAUAUAAUUAAUUCUAUGGUUAUUGGUGUUAGUAAUCAGUCAUUUAGUUAGAUUUUAGUUUGAAAUAAUUCAAGUUAUUUCUUCUUAUGUUUCUUGUGAAUCACUAAAAUUGAUUUCUGAUUUGGUUUGGGCUUUAGGGUCAUUUCUGGCCCAUUUUCUAGGAAAACCCAUUCAUUUUAGUUUAAAUCUUGGGUCAGACAUGACCCAUGUGGACUGCUGAGGUAAUGUGAAGGUGCUUUAAGGGUAAUUCAGGGUUUUUAGUUUAGGGAAUCUUGUGUAACUGAUUUAGGAAGCUUCUAGGAAAGUGGGGUUGGGGCUAGUUUAAAAAAAGAUAUUAAAAUCAAGGACUAACUGGCAUAAACGAAAAUUUGAAAAUGUGUAAUAGGCAAAAUUUGAACCAUUUUCUGCUACCCUAAGAAGUCUCUAGGAAAGGCAUGUUACUUCCUAAUCAAGUCAGAUUUUAGAGACUGAAAAACACUAAAACAUUUAGAAACGGCUGAGUUUUCUUUCAAAUUCCAAAUACUGAAAUUUCUACAAAUUUUCUUGAUUUUUUGUGUUCUAAUUCCCUUUGAUAAGUCAAAAUUUCUAAAAGUUCAAUAGAAUAGUGCAUCUAGGUUGGGUCAAGAGUUUGAAGCUGAUAUGCUAAUUCUAUACUGUCCCAUUGCUGACUUACUACUGUUGUUUCCUCUUAAACUUCAAGCUCAUUUUUCCUUGUUUUAAAUUGAUGUAACCAGGUACUUACUGAACCCUAUUGACAUGUUGAAAUAAGAGGAUAGGAAGUUGUUGAUUAAAUUGGAAAUCUAUGCCAUUUGUGUUUAUCAAAUGUCCCUUUUAUGUCCUUAAACUCACUCAAUUGUGUAGUAGUUUUGUUUUCUCUUCCCUUAUUUUGUUUGUUCAUUUAUUCUACUAGUUUAAAUUUCUCACGAAAAUUUAUAAAGCUAUUGAAUUUGUUAUUUUGACAUGUAUGGACUGUGGGAUUACUGUAAUAGAAGUUCUAUAUUGAACUACAUAUUCUUGCUUCAUACCUAUUUAAGUUUAUUGGGAUUAAUGUUUGUUUGGGGAUUUGCUUGUAUUUGUUAAGAUGAUACAUACAUACACACACGUGUGUGUGUGUGUAUAUAUAUAUAUAUAUAUAUAUAUGUUUGAAAUCAGAAAGUUCUUAUUAGUAAAUGCAUUCUUUAUUUGGGAAUCAUGUUACUGUUUGGCUAUAAGUCAUGAAUUAUUUUAGGGAAAAGGGUAAUUGUGUAUGAAUUAUUGCAGCAUUAGGAUAAGUCUAAUUAUAGAAAAGAAUUUGGCAUCAUGAAUAUGUGUUGCAUUUGUCUAAGUUUGCAAUAAUUUAGCAGUAGUCUUUUAAAUUUUCAGAGUUUCAUAGAGAAAUGUAGUUUGCAUCAUUCAUCAGUGCUAAGUCGUGUAACUGGACUGCAACGUUUGGCCCAAAUGUGUAAAAAAAUUGUCAUUCUGUUGUUCACUUACACAUUAUGGCUUCACGUGAGCCCAGUCCCUCCCUUGUGUCUGGAUGCAUAAAACGCUCAACAGAAAUGUUGGGCAUGUUGCUGGUUUAGUCCUUCCAAGCAGCCAAAUUCUUAGCUUCGCUUUUACACAAUCCCAUUAAUUAUUAAGUCAAGUUUGAACAUUAGUCCGUAACAAUUUCAAAUUCCUUUAAAUCUUCUUUAAUUAGUUAGACUCUUUCAAAUAAAAUUGAGGCGUUCCAUAUUAGCCAAACAUAUAAAUUAUUGCCCUCAUUGUCUAACUAAUUUUAAAAUCUCGAAACUCAUGGCCCUCAUUUAAUUAAUUUUAACUCUUUAGAAAUGAGGUGUGUCAUCAGUUUAAUUUUCCAUGGCCCUCGCAAACCUUGUUAUUAACUUGAAAGUGUGUAUUUACUUUAGGAGCACUAUUUUAAAUUAAUUUUCUUUGUUUAGGUUUACAUUUUAUAUGACCCAACUCCAAUUCUCAACAACGUUAAAUAGAACGUAUCACGAUUCAUGGGUGCAAUACAUGUGACAUGGUACAAGACUUAUUUAACAUUGAAUCUUCCUAAAUUUAAUUAAAAACGGUUAAUAUGCUAAAAUGUGCCAUAGGAUAAAAUAUGUAAUAAAUUAGAUAAUAGGCCAAUUUUAAUAUUUUAAGCAACCAUGCUAGAAUUACGGAAUCCGAGAAUGCCUAAUACCUUUUUUCGAGUUAAAUAGAAUUUCUUAUCUAGAAUUUCUGGUUCGUAGACUUUAAAAUAAAAGUCGAAUUUCCUCGACUUGGGAUCUUAGAAUAAACCGGUGACUUGGAACACCAAUUAAACUAUCUCAAGUGGCGACUCGGAUAAAUAAAUAAUCCCAUUUUGAAUAAUGUCACUUAAAGUGGAAAAAUUCUCUCAUAUACCCUCGGGGUAUAGAAAAGGAGGUCUGACAGCUCUAGCGACUCUGGUGGGGAUAAGAACCCAGAACUUCUAGUUCAGGGUUCAAAAUUUGAGAUUAGAUUAACUGUUAUAAUUGGCUUUUAUUUGUUAUCUAAUUUAUACAUGUUGAGCCUAAUGUGCUAAUUUGCCGCUUUUUAUCGCUUAGAUAUUAUUUAAAUUGUACAUUAAACUGUUACGAAACUCUCUUCUCUCUAAGGCUUCUAAGUCAUCUGGGAAGUGUGCACCUCGUGUGACAUCUUUUCUAUUAGAGUCUAUUCCCAAUUUUAGAACGAGGUUUGGACAAGUUACAAAGCCAGUGAAGCUUCUAUAUUCCUGGUACGCUGCCCCCUCUUGGCUCGAGAUGUCCGCUCGAGUAAGCCAGGUCAAGAAUAAUACACUUGGGUUUUAAACCUAGUAUAACAAAAUCUCAUGCCGGAUCCCUAGUAGGAAAGUUUGUUUGCAUCACGUGCAUUUGACUUUAGAGACUCAAUACAGUGGUUGGGUCUGUCUAGGACAGAUGUACCUAAAAUGUAAAGACUAUCCUGAUGCAUUCUACUUUCCACUUGUGCAUUUAUUUGCUUUGAGUUUGCAUGUUGAUCGGCUUAUGAAUAAUAGAGAAAUGUUGGGAAAAAGGAAAAACUAAUUUGCGGGCUAGAGAGAUAAUUACAUAUUCUGAAAAACCCGAUGUCUAAGAAGUACCGAAACUCUAUCGAAAUCUUGAAAAAAAAAAAACAGAUAAAAUCUAUUUUGAAUUUAUAUAUAGUAUUGUUUUUAUUAUGUCAAAUCUGCCUAAUCUAUGCCAGUUUUAUUCUAACUAGCCCUCAUCUAGUCCAAUUUCAUUUUUGCAAAAAUAACCAAAAAGAACAAAAAUUUUAUGUUUUUGUCGUAAAUAAUUAAGGGAAUGUCAUUCUUGUCUAAAAUGGAAAAAUUCCCUAAAAGGAUGUCGAAAGGUUAUUUUUUCAAGAAUAGCCAUCUUUGGUCUUUUUUUACAAAAUUUUUGGCUGGUUAGCAAACACAGCCCAAAAAUCUUCAUUCCAAAAGUGUUAAAGGGUCGUAUUUGCAAAGCUGAUUAUAACCUACUACUACGACUGUGGAUACAAGAACAUCUUUGUCACCAUGUCGGGUAUAUGAACUACGGCAUGACUUGUCUGAAUUGCAUCAAAGAGUACGAAAACUGAAUGUCGGAUGUUGAAUUUGCAUAACGUACAGAGGCUUGGUUUGCACACUUAAGUUCAUUAACUUCGGAGAAAAUUGAGUUGACUUUCGAUUGGCUUCAUGUCACAGAAGUUCUUUAUAUUUCAGCCGAGGUGUGUUAUUUUUUCGUAAUGGGUCUCCGGAGCAUUCAGCCAUAUGCUCCUCAUAGGGUGUUGCGCCAACUGGGCAGGCUUCAAACUAUUCCCAUGACAAAGAUCUGAUCCAACAAGUUGUCGAAUUGGGCCCAAGGGUUGUAUUCCCAGAAGGAACAAUUCGUCAAAUUUUGAAUGAGUUUAGAUUUCUAGAGCCUAAGACUUUGGUGCGGGAUCUAUCUAAAGUUGAGGUAGACCCUAAUUACAUGAAUUGGAUUGGUAAAAGGCUUCAAAUCUUUAGAGAGCCCGAAAGGCCUGCUAAAAGACCUCACAUCCAUUAAUUCAUUAAUGAUGCACAAAAGCAACGGGGUUGGCUGGCAAAUGCAGCAAGCUAUAGGGCCAAGAUAAAUAAAUUGGAGGGACAAAUCAGGGACCUCAAAAUUUGACAAUACUGUCCAAGCUACUACCAAUAAAUGGGAAAAGAAGAAAUUCGCUCAAGAAAAAAAGGCCCUUAAAGCUCAGAUUCAAAAGAUGAAAAUAGCUGCUAAAAACGAAGAGAGAAGUUGAGCAGAUGAAAGGCUUAUAAAUGAUCUUAGAAAUAAAGUAAUUGAGUGUCAAGAUGACUUAGAAAAAUCGAAGGCUAGUCAAACAAGAGUCUGAGCACAACUAGAAAAGAAUGCAGAAGGACAAAGUGGAAUUUGUGUGGAAAUUGAAAAUAAAAUAUGAGGGGACAGCCACAAUGUUAAAGAGAAAGUUAAAUACCCUUGAAAAUGAGGCGACCAAACAAGCUAGGAACUUUAAAGCCAAAAGGGAAUAUUGCUAUGCCUUGAUGUCCCAGAUAGAGGAAGAUAUGCAACAGUUGCAGAGUCAAAACCAUCAUGACACACAGGUGUUAGAAGAUAGAACUCAGCAAAUCGGGCGUUUUCUCCAAGAAAAAGGUAACAUACGGGAGAGGGUUAGAGCAAUUGCCGACUGCAUCAUUGUGAAGUGUCAAGAAUGUGAAGACAUGACUAGGACCACCUUCUUCGUUUCUGUUAUGACAUUUGUUCACCAAAUAAUGAGUGAUCUAGAGUAUCUUCAAGGAGAUCUUGCACAUAGGCUCGUGGCAAGACAAAAUGAUGUCUCACAGGCCCCGAAAGUAGAAGCACUUAUAUACUACUGAUUUUCAUUUAUCGAGUUUGUACUUCAGUUGUUGUUUUGAGUCUGUUUGUAGUUGUAAAAGUCCAAAAAUGAGUAUUUUUAAAGUCUUUUUGUAAUAGGAAAGUUUUGGAGUUUUAUUAAUUUAAAUUGUAAAUUCCCAAAGAAAAUUGUUUCUUUAUUUUUCGUACUAAUUUCUUGAACUACGUGAUGAUCUUAUUCACGUGGCAUCAUGAUAUGUAGGCAAUUCUUGUCGGAUCCGAUCAUUAUUUUUGGAAAUAACUCAAAUAAAAGAGGGAUGUGGAAGGAAAGAACUGAAAGAGAAAACAAAUGAAAAGGGGAGCCAAAGAAUAACCUAAAGAAAAACAAAGAAUGGAGAGAGAGUGCAAGAAAAGAGAGGAAAAGGGGAAUAAGAAGAAAAUCACAAAGAGCCAAAGGGGAAAGAAAAGAAAAUUAGGAAAAUAAGAAAAAUUCGGGAUAAAACACGCAACCGUUGCAAAAUAUAUAGAAACAUAUUUAACUGUAUAGGUGCAUCACACCAAGACGUGCGGUUACCUAUGUGUUAAUUGCUUCACACUGAUCGGUUUGUUGUCUACUGUUAAGUAUAGUUUCUAUAUUAAGGUGGUUAGUUUUGUGGUAAUCUGGCUUCACAUUCGUACUUCACAAAGAUAAAAGGAAGUGUUGAAAUAACUUUAGAUAGUUAACUGCCAACGGUUCCUAUUAUUGAGGAUAGUCUGAUCUCGGCCAUCCCAACUUAUGAGUCAGCAACUACUAAGGAAAAUAGAAUUCUGCAUCUUCGCAUGAUGGAAAUGUGGGACGCCUGGGCCAGCAGUAGGGAACCACUAAUAUGAUACUUGGAUUCCCCGCGCUAUUUCCCAGGGCAAGUAAGACUUCCAACAUCCCCAUAAGUUAUCUAAAUACCCCACGGGGAUAUCCUACCAUCUCAGCCUCCUUUGCUAGAACACCUUCUGAGGCUCUCCCCUAGGUGUUAACAUUCGGUGUGGCCUCAAACAUAUUCACUGCGCUACUUUGUUUAGCUAUGGCACAACCCACUCUACCCAUGCCUAGAUUUGAUCCAUCAUCAUUCACCUUUCAAGCACCAUCUUCUCCAAUGGAACCAACCAUGUUAGCUAACAAUGCUUACCCUCAGCCACCCCGGUACGAGUUUAGUGCGGGGCAAGAAAAAACAAAAAAUCACUCUGAACAAGAGGAGAUUACUAGAAAGAGGAGGAGAAUGGAGCAGAGUCUCAAAACUAUACAAGGUUUGAGCGGGCAAAUUUGCAUAUCCUACACUGACUUGUGUAUGUUCCCACACGUACGUUUACCCUUGGGUUUCAAAACCCCGAAGUUUCAAAAGUAUGAUGGUCAUGGGGAUCACAUUGCCCACUUCAAGAGGUACUACAACUAAUUAUGGGGAACAGGUUGAAAAAAGGAGCUUCUCAUGGCUUUUUUUUGGAGAGCCUAGUUGGCAUUGCUUCUGAAUUGUACGCGUAUCAGGAUAUAUCUCUGUGGCAUAUUUAGGACAACCUGGCUUGGGAUUUUCUCAAGAAAUUUUUGUAUAACAUUGACAUAGCCCCUGAUAGGAAUUCAUUGUCAAAUGUAAAGAAGAAAUCCUCGGAAAGAAUUCAAGAGUAUGCUGUCAUGCCGCGAACAAGAGGCCAGAGUCAAACCUCCAAUAGGCGAACAAAGAUGGAUAGUGUUUUUCUUCAAUCCCAAGAGGCUAGUUAUUUUCAGAAUAUAAUGUCUGCGAUGGGGAAACCAUUUGCCGAGGCCAUCCAAAUUUGUAAAAUGGUCGAGAAUGGUUUAAAAACAAGGCGCAUAUUGAGUCAAUUGGCUAUUAGGGGCUACUUCCCUAGUAAUUUAAGGCGCGUUUGGGGGUGUAGCAAACUGAAAGAAUAAGGAAGAAGCCGCAAUGUCAUCUUCAAGGGUAAGAAAACCUUAUCCACCUAGACCUUACUUCCGUGCAAGAACCCCAUAAUAUUAUUAUCCCCAUCAGGAUGUGGCUUAUGCUACGUGUCCUCAGCCAUACGCAGGGAUGAAUGCACAUCCCUAUGUUCAUCCACAACAACAACUCAAUGAAUACUAAGCUCCAUUUCCCAGAAAUCAAGCUACUUACUAAGCUCAGUAUAAUCCUCAAACUCCACAUAAUAACUUCCCUUACUAUGCCUGUGCUCGGAAACCACCUAGGAUGGUAAACAUCACACCCAUUGCUGAGUCAUAUUCCAACUUUUUAGCCAAACUUGUCUAGAUGGGUUUAUUGCAGCCUGUACCCCAAACUAGACUGAACCUAGAUUUGCGCUCCUACAGAGCUGGUACUCGAUGUGCUUACCGCUCAGGGUCACAAAGGCACGAUAAAGAGGGUUGUUAGUCCUUGAAAAGGGGUGUUUAAAAUCUCAUUGAACAAAUGUAGAUAAUGCUAAAGGACGAAGACGCUCCUAUAUAACCAAAAAUCCAGUACCGGCUCAAAACAACAGGUCGGUUAUUGAAUGAUUUGUGAAGAUAAAGAGUUUCACCCAGCUCUAAAAGCCAUCAUUGCCAUAGCCCGUGAGAAGCCAAAGGUUGUCGGAAAAAAAGGACAAGGGAGAGAAGAAGAGUAAACCCACCCCUCAAAAUAAUAAAAGAAAGUGGAAACCGAAAAUGGGGCAGUACUCUCAAAAGAUGUUGUUCUCUAUGUUCCCCAAGGCCACAAGUAAGAACCAAUAUCAUUGAGCUCUCCCAAAAGGUUUGAGCUAAACAAGGGAUCUAAAAUAUAUAUGCCUAAAGGGACAAUUGUGGUGUGGAGGCCAGUAAUUUCAGCAACGCCAAAUGAACCUGUGGUUAUGGGUGCACAACGUAGAGGCCCAAGAUAGAUCCUACUAUCAUUCCAUGGAAUUACAUCAAGGUGGUAGUAACUUACAGGGGUGAAGAGAUAUCGGGAGAGGAAAAUGAAAGUAGCCCAGAUGAGAAAUACCUCAAUCUUGAGGAAGUGAAUAAUGCCACAAAAAAGCGUGUUCCACUCAAGAAGCCAGUUAGUACUGAAGAAGCAGAAGAUUUCUUCCGAAAAAUGAAAAUGGCGGGCUACAAGAUAAUUGACCAACUCCAAACGUCUCCUGCUCGGGACUCUUUGUCGUCUCUGCUAAUGAAUUCAAAACAUCAGAAAGUAUUGAUCAAAACCCUCAAUGAAGCGUAUAUACCCAUUGAAACCACUACGGAACAGUUGGAGAGGGUGGCGGAAAGAUUUUGCAGUCAAUCAAAUCUCUUUCAGCAAUAAUGAAUUGGCCCUUGAAGGGCCCACCCACAACAAAGCCAUUCAUCCUAUCGUUAAAUGUGAGGGAUAUUAUGUGAAAAGGGUCAUGUUGGAUAGUGGUUCUGGAGUAGAUAUUUUCCCUCUCCCAACUCUGCAACGGAUGGAGAUCGGUACAUAUAGAAUCAGGCCCAACAACGCCAAUGAGCGUGCCUUUGAUAGGAUCAAGUGAGAUACCAUAGAUGAGAUUGAUUUAAUUCUAACUAUUUGUCCGGUGAAUUUUGAGGUGAUCUUUCAGGUCUUGGACAUGGAUACUUCCUUUAAUUUCCUCUUGGGAAGACCUUGGAUUCACGCAACAGGGGUUGUACCUUUCAAUCUUCACCAAAUGGUAAUGUUUGAACAUGAAGAUCAGGAGAUUGUAGUCCAUGAAAAAGACGAGCAGUUGAUUUACCGGGACCCAUCAGUACUAUGUCCAAUUUUGUCUGAUUUUGACUAAGUCCAAGCUGAAUCAGGUUAAUGCUGAAUUAGUCAAUCAAUUAUCAAAAACUCUAUCCUAUUUAAAUCAAAGUAUACUGAAAACAACUUGUGAGAAGAACAAUUAUGAGAGGAAAGGAAGGAGCAGAAACAAAACACACAAGAUUAUCAAAACUAAGCAUGCAAGUUACACUUCUAACGAUGAAAUUUAAACAAUAAAACUGUCAAACAGAGGAAAAGAGAAAAUAACCUAAAUCAUGCAAUUACAGACAGAACAUCCACAAUGAAGAAUCAAUCAAAGAAAAGAAAAAGAAUAUGGCUAAUAAAAUAGAAAAUAGAAAGAAGAUAGAAAGCAACCUAGAAAUUACUUCUACUGAAACGAAAAAUAAAUUGGAACUGAAUAACUUGGCCGGAACUUGGCCUAGUUAGGGCAAGCUUGAAAAAUAAGUCAAACCCUUAUGAAUCAAUUUCUCUCAUCAAAAACAGUUGACUCAUGUAAGUUUGAGCCAUUAAAUCUUCUGGAAUCGACUCAGUAGAAGUGUUUAGGUUUUCAGACUUUCUAUCUGAAGUUGCUCGAUUUAGAGGCUUUUUUUCGGCAAAACAGUAUGGUAUUUGGGGUGAAGGGAGUGAGGGGAUAGCCUGGUGAAUAUUUGGGUUGACUUUGAGAGGUUAGGUUUUUUUGUAUUGAAACUCAGAUUUGAGAUUCGUGGCAUUUGCAAAUGAUUCGGGGGGAUUGUUUUGGAGAUUUGUAAAGAGGAGACGAAUGAGAUUCUAGGGUGCUGAUUUGGGGUCAUUUGGAACACCGGAGCAGUCGCGAGGCAAUUUCUGGUGGCGGUUGGCGGUGGAGACGUGGGGGUGGGAUAGAGAUGAAAUGAUCUGAUGUUAGAGGUUUGGGGAUGUGGGUUGACAAAUUUUAGGAUAGUCAUAUAGUAAUUACAAUGUUAGUUCCUAGCCAUUGGAUCAACAAAAUCAAACGGUUGUGAUAAACCAACACAAAACGGGGUCAUUUUGGGGUGACGAAUCUUGGAUCGGGUACACACAUAGGGCUUGGAUCAGCGUGGUUUCUUGGAUGGGUUUGGGUGAUUUUGGGUUGGUUUUGGUUUCAACUGGCCCAAUUCAAAAAUUAAAACUCCUUUUCAAUUCACCUCUUUUAUUCCUUUUCUUUUCUUUUGCCAUUUUUAGUUACAAAUCCUAAAUUAAAAAAAUCUUAAAUUAACCUAAAUUACAAAAUUAAACUAAUACCUAGUUAGAAUAAUUAUAAAAGUUAAUUAAUUCUAAGUUAAAAGAGAAAAAUCAAUAGUCUAAAACGUAAAAUGUAUAAUAGGCCAUUUUUGUGAUUUUUAUUUUAAUAAAACAAAUAAUUAACAGAUUAACUCUAAAAAUAUAAAAACAAAACCAGAAUGCAAUAUAUGUUAUUUUUGGUAUUAUUCAUGAUUUUAAUACAAAUUAAACGUGCACAAAAAAUACAAGCAAUUAAUAAAAUCCUACAAAAAUUCUUUAAAAUGGCAAAUAAUGAGGAAAAAAUCUAUUUUCUUGAAUUUUAUCGAAGUAGUUCAUACAGGGAAAAAAUCACAUGCUCAUCGGAUAGUGCAAGUGUCCAGGUGACAAGUUUGGCCUAGUGCACAUAGCCAUGCCAUGAUUUUUUGCUCGGACAUGGAAUUUUGCACCCUAUAUCUACUAUAAUGAAGUCGACUGGGAAGAAAAAUUUGUCCACCCUCAUUAGAAUGUCCUCACUUAUGCCCUCUGAUAUAAUAGUGGUCCAAUAAGCCAAUUGCAAAAAUACUGGCGCAGAUUUUCUCACUCCUUGUUAUUCUUCCAAUUUCUUUAAAAUCGUCAAUGGCAUCAAGUCAAUAGAUGUACCUGAGAUGCACAAAGCUUUGUCAAGAUCUUUAUAAUGAAGCUUCUAGGAUUCGCACAUUUUAGAGGUAUUUUAUUCUGUAGGAUGGAAUUACAAUGUGCAUUGAGUUUGACAACUGUCAUUCCUCGAGCUUCUUUUCACAAUAGAGGAUUUCCUUCAGAAAUUUGACAUAAACAGGCAUCUGGGCGAGCACCUCGAUGAAAGAAAUGUUCACAUACAACAAUUUCGGCAUCCCUAACAAUUUCCUAAAGCAUCUAUCUAAUUUCUCCCUCUUCAUCUUCUGAUGGAAAGGUAACAUUGGCAUGUUAUUUCUUUCUUCAACUUCACUAUUUGACUUCUGCUUAUCACCCUCCUUCUUGUUGAUGUUCACCGUAGCCAAAAUUCACCAAUUUUUUGCUCUUCUGCUAUUCUGGCUAAUUUGAUCACCCUUUCAUUGAAAUAGGAUCUGAUAAUAUUUUUCUACUCCUGAGAUACACGACCUUGAUCGUCUCUUUUGGAUUCUUCUCGGUGUCAGAAGGAUGGAUUCUUGACGAGUCCCCGAAGCCAUUUAUGAUAAAUGAUGCAAUCUGCCUCAUUUGUCUUUCUAAUUUUCGGAUGGUCUUGCCUUGUUCCUGAAUAGUUGUUUCCUGAAUCUCAAGCUUCUUAUUUGAUUUGUUUAAGAAUGCCUUCAUUAGAUCUUCAAAACAUGAUUUGUUGAGCUGUGGAGGCUAGUGUUGUUGCCUUUGUUAGUUUUCGAAGCCUGGAGGUCUUUGCAUAGGUGCUUUGGGAUUUUGUUGUACUCAUGUGUUCAAGCUACCACUUGAAUAACUCCAUGAGAACCUUAGAUGUCUCUGUCCUAUGGAGUUGAAAUUGUUACCACCUUGGCAGCUGCCUCUGCUGAAAUUCCCCAAUGCUAACUUUCUUCUAUAAUGGAGGUUUGACACUCAUGAUUUGGGUAUCUGAUUCCACAAAUGUCACAUCCCAACUAUGGUUGAUUUUACACCCGGGGUAUUGUCAAUUGCUUGAUGUCCUUAGCCAUAGCUGCAACUUGGGCCUGCGUUGCUACAAAAAUUCUACUCGGUGCACCCCGUUGAUCUUCUUCGAUCACCUUGGUCAGUAGACCAUUGUUCUACGUCUUAGAAUAGUUCAUCCAGGAGUGUGACAAUCUCUUCUGGAGUUUUCUUCAUCAGAGGGCUUGCAACCACACUAUUUAGCAAUCUCAUUGAUAAAGGAGUUAACCCUUCCCAGAAAUAUUGUAGUUGCACCCAUUUCUCCAUUCCAUUCUGAACGAACCUCGUAAUAAUUCCAUAAACCUUUCCUAUGCCUCGAGCACUGUCUCCCCUUCUCUUUGUCUGAAAUUGUGAAUCACUUUCCUCAUCCUUCCAGUCUUAGCAGCAGAGAAAUAUAUUCUAAUAAAUUGGUAGCCACCUUCUCCCAGUACGGAUUAACCUUGUGGGUAAACUCAAUAAUCACUACUUUGCAUCAUCCUUAAGUGAGGAAGGGAAUACUCUGAGAUAAAUGGAAUCAUCUUAUGCUCCAUUAUAGCGAAAUGUCUUCAUGAUUUCAUUGAAGUCUAUCAGAUGGUUAUUGGGAUCUUCAUUGGGCUUGCUUCUGAAAAUGUUGUUGUUCUGAAUGGUCCGGAUGACUCACUGCUUGAGUUCAAAUUUAUUAGCAUCAAUGGGUGGGGGCAUCACAUUGGAUUGCCACUUGUUGUAGACCGGUAUGGCCUAAUAUCCAAGAGAUCUUCCAAGCCCGACUGCAUUUCAAACACAUCUUCAACCAGGGGUCGGUUAAGGUUGAUUCUUUGAACCUGUUCAACUGUUUCUUCAGCUUCUAAUCGUGAACCCUGUUGUUGGGUUGUCUCUCUUUCUGAUAAGUUCAUUUCCUUUUUGUUUUUCACCAUUUUAAUUUGAGUUGAUGUCUAGCCCAAAAGGGAUCCACUCGAUUCUUUCUCCCUUCUCAACUAUUGCAGGUUCUUGUCUAAUUCGAGAUUAUAUAGCACCAAUGCCUCGGAGGAGGAUCGAGUCAUAUACCACUAAACUUAACAUAUUGCCUAUACACAGAUAAGAAGACCUUAAAAGAUACUAAAAUAAAAUUAUUCCCGAAUUUGCACCGAAAAUUAUUUUAAACAUUAUUAAAUCUUCAGUCCCCAGCAUUGGGGCAAAAAUUUGAAGAGCGCAAAACUAGUGUAUAAAACUUAAGCUUGCUAGUCAAAGAUAGUAUUGUUUUAAAUCUUAUCCACGGAAUUGGUUUAAAUAAUGUUCAAAAAAAUCUUCAUCUUAAUACUAUUAAGGAAAAUUAACCUUUAUAUUUGAGUUAUUAACUAUUUGCAGCAGAGCAGAUGUUGCUAUCUUAGAAGUUGGAUUAGGAGGCAAAUAUGACGCAACAAAUGUGGUUGAGAAUCCAGUUGUUUGUGGCGUAUCUUCACUUGGAUAUGACCACAUGGAAAUUCUUGGUGGAGUCUAAAACUCCGAGGAUGAGAAAGAAAUCAAAUGUUGGGACUAAAUUGAAUAUUCAGUCAAAUAAUUUGGGACAAAUAAUGGAAUCUACCCCAUAGGAGUUAAUAUAGAAGGUUUGAACAGCAUUAUCUUUAAUUGGUGUGUGGCCUUUGUCUGUUUAUCCUGCUACAACCUAACUGUGCUAGCAUAUUCUACUUAAUGCUAUUGAAUGCAGAUUGCAACUGCAAUUCUGCUAGUAAUUGUAAAACUACUGCUCAAUCAAUUAGGAAAGAGUAACUGCUAUAUGUAGUUAUAAUAUUCUCAAGAUUGUUGAUGGAUAUACUAUGUAAAUGACUUUCUGUUUAAAUUUUAAUUAAAUAAAAUGAGUAUAAUCACCUCAGCGAGAAGCGAGGCUGAGGUGGUUCGGGCAUGUACGGAGGAGGGGUCCCGAUGCCUCGGUGAGNNNNNNNNNNNNNNNNNNNNNNNNNNNNNNNNNNNNNNNNNNNNNNNNNNNNNNNNNNNNNNNNNNNNNNNNNNNNNNNNNNNNNNNNNNNNNNNNNNNNNNNNNNNNNNNNNNNNNNNNNNNNNNNNNNNNNNNNNNNNNNNNNNNNNNNNNNNNNNNNNCCCGAUGCCUCGGUGAGGAGCUGCGAGCGGCUGGAGAUUGUUGGUGGUCGGCGAGGCAGAGGGAGGCCUAAGAAGCAUUGGGGAGAGGUGAUUAGACAGAACAUGACUAAGAUGCAGGUUUCCGAGGACAUGACCCGUGAUAGGAGAGUCUGGAGGCUAGAAUCUGGGUUGUAGGUUAGGGUCUCCUAGAGUUCUUCGUACGCCUCAUCCGGGUGUGGGUCAGCAGGGUUACCCAUAGAUGAUUUGUGUUUUAGCUUAUGUCCCCCCUAUGGUNNNNNNNNNNNNNNNNNNNNNNNNNNNNNNNNNNNNNNNNNNNNNNNNNNNNNNNNNNNNNNNNNNNNNNNNNNNNNNNNNNNNNNNNNNNNNNNNNNNNNNNNNNNNNNNNNNNNNNNNNNNNNNNNNNNNNNNNNNNNNNNNNNNNNNNNNNNNNNNNNNNNNNNNNNNNNCUUUCGGGUAGGGGUAAGGCUCGUCUACAUAUUACCCUCCCCAAACCCCACCUGGUGGGAGUAUACUGGGUAGUUGUUGUUGUUGUUGUUGUUGUUUUGAGUUAUUAACUAACUAAGAGUAAAAACUAAGAUUCUCAAUUUUGAAUGAAUAAUGGAACGACAUAGCAACGAAUGAAUAUCAAUGUGAAGAAUAAGGGCUUUGAAAAGAUAUGUGAUCGCUUAUUACUCGGGAUAACUCUGUGCUAAGUUCACUCAUAAAUUAUAUUGACUCUUUCGAUUGCAACAGAUGAUUAAGCUAUAUUAAGGAUUAAAAUUUUUCUUUCGAAAGAAUGAGAGUUAUGCUCAAACAACCUACAUAUAAGUGCUAUGAAGAUAUGCAAGAAUACAUUAGAUGAAUAUUCUUACAAAGAACAUCUCUCGACAAUUCAUCUACAUUGGAUCAAUUGAUAAUUCCAAACUCUUUUGGUAACCCAUGAGAGCUGUGAAAUUAACCCAACAGUAUAACACAAUGAUAAAUGUUGUAACAGUUAUCUUCCGAUUAAAGUGAAACCCCUAUUAACUUUGUAAUUUAAUUCAAACAUCGUUCCACAAUUCAAGCAACUAAUAGCAAUCAAAACCUCGAAUAAUAAUCAAUUCACGAUAUCCGUCAAUAACAAUGAGAAAGACUACUCCAUAGUGGAGAAUGUGUUCAUCAAAAGAGUAUUAAGAUUUAAGAAGAUAAGAAAAAAUUACAAACCAUGAAUUCAAACAAAAAUUCGUAUUGAAUGAUUUAUAUGAAGUAUUCAAAAUUUAUAUCGAUUCCUUGCCUUUUUCUCUUUAAAAAUUUCUCCAAAAAUCCGUCCUCCCUAGGUUGGAACGAGCAUACACUUUAUAUAAGAAAAAAAAGAAAAAUCUAGUAAAGUAACUACUAGAACCAAAUAGGCUUUCUACACAUGCAUCGUCUAAAACAACGAUUUUUAUCAGCUGUAGCAAAGAAAGAAACUUCAUAGAAGUCAAAAUAGGAAAAAAUAAAAAUGCCUAGCAACUUUUUUCUAUGGAUAUAAGGCUUUAAUUGAUAGAGAUAGAGGAAGCAAGGUGAAUGCCGAUAAAUUACAAAAUUAGGCCUGACUUAAGUUUUUUGGAGAUGGACAUGCGCGGCCGUGCAUCUGGGUGUAUGACCGUGCAUAUGCUUGCGCACAUCUACCAGUUCAUCUAUGAUACUUGCGCUCUCAUGCGCGUGGUUGGGGAUUCUCGUGCGCGUCCACAUAAGAGAAGUUCCUCCUCUCCCAGCUUUGUUUCCUUCCUCAUCAUGCAAUUAUUUGUCCCGUGAUCCCCUCCGCACCGCCUGGACAGAAAAGCAAAAUAUUGGACAAUAAUCAGACUAAAUAUCUAGAAAAUCAACAAAAUCAAGGCCACAAAUCGAACAUAAAUUUGAGAUUUUAAGCUCAUCAAACACCCUACACUUAUAUUUUGCUUGUCCACAGAAAAUCUAUUACUAAACUACUCCUUACACUGCAAC